rnacentral:tRNA from 1 species
AUUUAAAUAGCUUAAUUAGAGCAUAGUAUUGAAGUUACUAAGGUGAUUAUUUAUCUUUAAAUA